rnacentral:rRNA from 1 species
CGUACACUCCUGCGGGAGGCAGCAGUGGGGAAUAUUGCACAAUGGGCGCAAGCCUGAUGCAGCCAUGCCGCGUGUAUGAAGAAGGCCUUCGGGUUGUAAAGUACUUUCAGCGGGGAGGAAGGCAAUACGGUUAAUAACCGUGUUGAUUGACGUUACCCGCAGAAGAAGCACCGGCCAACUCCGUGCCAGCAGCCGCGGUAAUACGGAGGGUGCAAGCGUUAAUCGGAAUUACUGGGCGUAAAGCGCACGCAGGCGGUCUGUCAAGUCGGAUGUGAAAUCCCCGGGCUCAACCUGGGAACUGCAUUCGAAACUGGCAGGCUUGAGUCUUGUAGAGGGGGGUAGAAUUCCAGGUGUAGCGGUGAAAUGCGUAGAGAUCUGGAGGAAUACCGGUGGCGAAGGCGGCCCCCUGGACAAAGACUGACGCUCAGGUGCGAAAGCGUGGGGAGCAAACAGGAUUAGAAACCCCGGUAGUCCCA